UAGUCCUUUAUGUGUAAAUCUUUGAAUAAAAACAAAAUUCUGCUAACUGAAAUAUCUUACUAGCAGUAAUAAAAAUCAAAAGAGUCAAUUUUUAGUAACGAUGAGUGAAGUAAUUUUGUAAUAAACUUUUUCUUUGAUAAGCCAAAGUUGGUAAAAAGACCAUCUUAUUCAGUUAUUACAUAGACUUGUUUAUUGGUGCAGAAAAUUGUACUUCUUGUAGAAUUUGCUACAAGUCUUAUGUCACUGUUGAUAUCAAUAGCGCACAGUACUGUGAAGAAAAGUUUUAAAUUUAGUGGCUUAAAACAAUCUUAUUUUAAGAUGUACUUUUUGUAUUAUGGUUUGACGACUUAAUUUUUUAAGCAAGCAUUACUGCGUUUAUAACUUACUCAUAGUUUAAAUAAUUAGACACGAAGCG
rnacentral:rRNA from 1 species